rnacentral:rRNA from 1 species
GAUGAACGCUAGCUACAGGCUUAACACAUGCAAGUCGAGGGGCAUCAGGAAGAAAGCUCGCUUUCUUUGCUGGCGACCGGCGCACGGGUGAGUAACACGUAUCCAACCUGCCGUCUACUCUUGGACAGCCUUCUGAAAGGAAGAUUAAUACAAGAUGGCAUCAUGAGUCCGCAUGUUCACAUGAUUAAAGGUAUUCCGGUAGACGAUGGGGAUGCGUUCCAUUAGAUAGUAGGCGGGGUAACGGCCCACCUAGUCUUCGAUGGAUAGGGGUUCUGAGAGGAAGGUCCCCCACAUUGGAACUGAGACACGGUCCAAACUCCUACGGGAGGCAGCAGUGAGGAAUAUUGGUCAAUGGGCGAGAGCCUGAACCAGCCAAGUAGCGUGAAGGAUGACUGCCCUAUGGGUUGUAAACUUCUUUUAUAAAGGAAUAAAGUCGGGUAUGCAUACCCGUUUGCAUGUACUUUAUGAAUAAGGAUCGGCUAACUCCGUGCCAGCAGCCGCGGUAAUACGGAGGAUCCGAGCGUUAUCCGGAUUUAUUGGGUUUAAAGGGAGCGUAGAUGGAUGUUUAAGUCAGUUGUGAAAGUUUGCGGCUCAACCGUAAAAUUGCAGUUGAUACUGGAUAUCUUGAGUGCAGUUGAGGCAGGCGGAAUUCGUGGUGUAGCGGUGAAAUGCUUAGAUAUCACGAAGAACUCCGAUUGCGAAGGCAGCCUGCUAAGCUGCAACUGACAUUGAGGCUCGAAAGUGUGGGUAUCAAACAGGAUUAGAUACCCUGGUAGUCCACACGGUAAACGAUGAAUACUCGCUGUUUGCGAUAUACUGCAAGCGGCCAAGCGAAAGCGUUAAGUAUUCCACCUGGGGAGUACGCCGGCAACGGUGAAACUCAAAGGAAUUGACGGGGGCCCGCACAGGCGGAGGAACAUGUGGUUUAAUUCGAUGAUACGCGAGGAACCUUACCCGAGCUUAAAUUGCAGAUGAAUUACGGUGAAAGCCGUAAGCCGCAAGGCAUCUGUGAAGGUGCUGCAUGGUUGUCGUCAGCUCGUGCCGUGAGGUGUCGGCUUAAGUGCCAUAACGAGCGCAACCCUUGUUGUCAGUUACUAACAGAUUCCGCUGAGGACUCUGACAAGACUGCCAUCGUAAGAUGUGAGGAAGGUGGGGAUGACGUCAAAUCAGCACGGCCCUUACGUCCGGGGCUACACACGUGUUACAAUGGGGGGUACAGAGGGCCGCUACCACGCGAGUGGAUGCCAAUCCCCAAAACCUCUCUCAGUUCGGACUGGAGUCUGCAACCCGACUCCACGAAGCUGGAUUCGCUAGUAAUCGCGCAUCAGCCACGGCGCGGUGAAUACGUUCCCGGGCCU